rnacentral:rRNA from 1 species
AAUCCUGGCUCAGGACGAACGCUGGCGGCGUGCUUAACACAUGCAAGUCGAACGGAACACCCUUGAAUGAGGUUUCGGCCAAAGGAAAGGAAUGCUUAGUGGCGGACUGGUGAGUAACGCGUGAGGAACCUGCCUUUCAGAGGGGGACAACAGCUGGAAACGGCUGCUAAUACCGCAUGACGCAUUCGGAUGGCAUCAUCUGAAUGCUAAAGAUUUAUCGCUGAAAGAUGGCCUCGCG